ACAGAGGUGGCUAGCGUUGUUCGGAAUUACUGGGCGUAAAGGGAGCGCAGGCGGCCAAAUUAGUCUGAAGUGCAAGCCCGGGGCUCAGCCCCGGAAUUGCUUUGGAUACUGUUUGGCUUGAGUAUGUCAGAGGUGAGCGGAAUUCCAGGUGUAGCGGUGAAAUGCGUAGAUAUCUGGAGGAACAUCGGUGGCGAAAGCGGCUCACUGGGACAAAACUGACGCUGAGGCUCGAAAGCGUGGGGAGCGAACGGGA
rnacentral:rRNA from 1 species